UUUCUACAUUUUUUUAAAGAAAAAGCAAUUCCUAUUAAAUAGGUAUAUACAUACAUUUUGAAACCUUCAAAACGGCAACUGGUAACGCCAUUUUCAUCUAUUUGCCCUAAAAAUUUCAUCCUCCAAAUUCGGCACCUCAAACCCACGAUGUCUCACCACGAUAUCAACUCUUUACCCACGAACUGUCGAACUCUUCUGCCCAGGAUUCCAGUAACAUGAUUUCACAUUUUUAUCAAAUCAGUUUUACUUUUACAGUAUAUAGUUAUGUUCUUUCUCCAUCGUGUGCAUAUCAAACAACAAUUCUAGAGUACAAGAGGUGAUUUGUAUGAUUUGUAUUUCAUGAACAAUCUUUAUUCCAGUUGAGAUUGUAUUCCUUUAACAGAUAUUUCCGUGAAGUUUUAGUUUCUACUUAUAUUUACAAAUACCUCUGUCUAUUUCAGGAUAUAAUGGCGGAUGGAAUCAAUUUUGUUACUGAAAUUAACAGCAAGUCAAUGAAUUGGAAGUUAAAGGUUCGUAUUAUCAGGCUUUGAAAAAAUCCGGAUCGCGAUAGGCCUGACAACCCUUUUUUAAUUGAGAUUGUUAUGAUGGAUGAAAAGGUAUUGUUUAAAACUUUAUAAUUACUUUCUAUUUUGUCAUUGUUUACAUAUGCGUAAGUAUAUUACAGUCAUAUACAGAAUAACUUAGUCAUUUUAACUAAUUGAGGUUUUUUGUAGGGCGA
rnacentral:lncRNA from 1 species